rnacentral:rRNA from 1 species
UAAAGCCAAACACCCCCUAGGCUGUCAUACGUUCUCUGGGGGCACGAAGUCCAGAUACGAAAGAAGCUUUAACACCAAUACACCUGACCCCACGAAAGCUAAGAAACAAACUGGGAUUAGAUACCCCACUAUGCUUAGCCAUAAACAUAGAUGCCCUAUUACCCAAAGCAUCCGCCCGAGUACUACAAGCAUAAGCUUAAAACUCAAAGGACUUGGCGGUGUCUCAGACCCACCUAGAGGAGCCUGUUCUAGAACCGAUAACCCCCGUUAAACCUCACCACCCCUUGUUUUCCCCGCCUAUAUACCGCCGUCGUCAGCUUACCCUGUGAAGGACAAACAGUAAGCAAAAUGGAUAAAACCCGAAACGUCAGGCCGAGGUGUAGCGAACGAGGUGGGAAGAAAUGGGCUACAUUUUCUAUCAUAGAAUAUUCACGAACGGCACCCUGAAAUAUAUGCCUGAAGGUGGAUUUAGUAGUAAAAAGAAAAUAGAGUGUCCUUUUGAAUCUGGCUCUGAGACGCGCACACACCGCCCGUCACCC